rnacentral:rRNA from 1 species
GACGAACGCUGGCGGCGUGCUUAACACAUGCAAGUCGAACGGAAAGGCCCUGCUUUUGUGGGGUGCUCGAGUGGCGAACGGGUGAGUAACGCGUGAGUAACCUGCCCUUGACUUUGGGAUAACUUCAGGAAACUGGGGCUAAUACCGGAUAGGAGCUCCUGCUGCAUGGUGGGGGUUGGAAAGUUUCGGCGGGUGGGGAUGGACUCGCGGCUUAUCAGCUUGUUGGUGGGGUAGUGGCUUACCAAGGCUUUGACGGGUAGCCGGCCUGAGAGGGUGACCGGCCACAUUGGGACUGAGAUACGGCCCAGACUCCUACGGGAGGCAGCAGUGGGGAAUAUUGCACAAUGGGCGGAAGCCUGAUGCAGCAACGCCGCGUGCGGGAUGACGGCCUUCGGGUUGUAAACCGCUUUCGCCUGUGACGAAGCGUGAGUGACGGUAAUGGGUAAAGAAGCACCGGCUAACUACGUG